rnacentral:lncRNA from 10 species
GGUUGGAACCAGCCCUGGGCAGGAUGUCAUCCCAUUGCAGGGGGCACCUAUACCCACCCACGCUUACACUCCCUCACACUGGUGAGAGGUGAAGCCGGCUGGGCUUCUGGGUCGGGUGGGGACUUGGAGAGCUUUUCGGUCUAGCUAAAGGAUUGUAAACACACCAAUCAGCACUCUGUGUCUAGCUAAAGGUUUGUAAACAGCACCAAUUAGCACUCUGUAAAAACGCACCAAUCAGCGCUCUGUGUCUAGCUAAAGGUUUGUAAAGACACCAGUCAGCCCUCAGUAAAAAUGGACCAAUCAGCACUCUGUAAAAUGGACAAAUCAGCGCUCUGUAAAAUGGACAACUCAGCAGGAUGUGGGCGGGGCCAAAUAAGGAAAUAAAAGGUGGACACCCCGGCUAGCAGCAGCAACUUGCUUUGGGUCCGUUUCCACGCUUUGGUCUUUCUCUCUUGGCAGUAAAUCUUGCUGCUCCUCACUUUUUGGGUUAGUACUACGUUUAUGAGCUGUCACACUCACCGGGAAGGUCUACAGCUUCACUCCUGAAGCCAGUGAGACCGUUAACCCACCAGGAGGAACGGGCAACUCAGACCGCGCCACCUUUAAGAGCUGUAACACUCACCGCGAAGGUCUGCGGCUUCACUCCAGAAGUCAGCGAGACCACGAAUCCUGCGGGAGGAACGAACUCCGACCGCGCCACCUUUAAGAGCUGUAACACUCACUGCGAAGGUCUGUGGCUUCACUCUUGAAGUCAGCAAGACCACGAACCCACCAGAAGGAAGAAACUCCGGACACAUCUGAACAUCUGAAGGAACUCGGGACACGCCAUCUUUAAGAACUGUUAACACUCACUGCGGGGGUCUGCGGCUUCAUUCCUGACGUCAGCGAGACCAAGAACCCACCGGAAGGAACCAGUUCCAGACAUACUGGGACCGUGUGGAUACGUCGGUAAACCUGACAUGCACAUCUUUAGGAGAUAGCUGGAGAAAACCCAUGCAGAUUGUGGGUUUAUCCCCAGCUGGGGAUAGAUUUUUUUUCCCCAUCAAUAUUGUAAAGAAAACUGAAUGAAUUAGUUAUUCAAGAACCAGCUGUACCUCUUACAUAGGGUUGUCCCGAGGGCUAUGAGAGAUCAUGUUUGUAAAGUGCCCAAGAAGCAGUGGCUACUAUUAUUACUAACUUGCUUUUUCUGUGCAGUAACUUUAUAAGAUAAAUUUUGCCACAGUUUUAUAGAUGAAGAGACUGAGGCAAAUGGAGGUCCCUUAAUUUACCAGAAGUCUUCUACCUUAAGAAAGACAAGACUCGGAUUCUAAUUUAAGUCAUUUUGAUACAUUCUACUCUCCCCACCACAGCAUAUUAAAUGUAAUGCACACUCAAAAAUACUGGGUUUUUUUUUUGUUUUUUUUUUUUGAGACAGAGUUUCGCACUUUUUGCCCAGGCUGGAGUGCAAUGGCGCGACCUUGGCUCCACCUCUUGGGUUCAAAUGAUUCUCCUGCCUCAGCCUUCUGAGUAGCUGGGAUUACAGGCAUGCAUCAGCACGCCUGGCUAAUUUUGUAUUUUUAGUAGAGAUGGGGUUUCUCCAUGUUGCUCAGGCUGGUCUCGAACUCCUGACUUCAGGUGAUCCUCCCACCUAGGCCUCCCAGAGUGUUGGGAUUAUAGGUGUGAGCCACUGCGCCUGGCCUGGAUUUCUCUAUUUGUUUAUGCGAAAUCGUCUACUGGCAUUACCAUCUCUCAAAACAUUUUCCUGGACUUUUAACUAAAGAUUUUUUCCAUUGUAAUGGGCACAAGUGCAAUUUCCCUUUCAUUUUAAGAGACUGUGAGAAGUAACAAAUCAGGUGAUGGUCUUGUUUUCCCAAGCUGCUACAGAGCUUCUGCAGCUCCAAGCAUGACCACUAUAUUUGGCUGCUUAAAAGCAUAACAAGGGCAGAAAUCAUAAAGGCUUUGCCCAGAGGGCCUUGAUUGUCCUUGCCUUCUUGUCCUUUGGUGAGAACUUCAUUGGUGGUGGCUCCAAAAAUCAGGAGACUUUCUGUGAUGAAUUCACCAUAAGAACGUGGGACCCAGCCUCCCUUGAAGGACGUCCUAUAUGAUGCCUGUUUCCAAGGGAAGAAGUAAAGUCAAGAAACAAGAUAUCCUCAAGCUACUCUUAGGAUCAGUGUCUGCAUAGAUCUGGCACACAGAAAUGCAAGGAAACAAUUUGUGCAAAGCAUUAAAAAAAAAAGGGGGGACCCUGAGAGUAUAACAAGUGCUCCUGAGAGAGGACAGACGGAGAGGACGCAUGGGCAGGGAUGGCCGCCCUGAGCAGCUGAUGUUCGAGCUAAGAUCUGAAAGGUGCAUGAUUUCCCACUUACCUCCCGCAACCACUACCACCCACGUUGUCCACAGUAUUCAGCUGUCUCAGGGAGGAUCACAAUUAUUCUAAUGGGACUGCAAAGAGUGAAGGACACAGCUUUUAACAUCAGGCGGAGCUAAAUGGGGGAUGGAAGGUUCUUGAGAAGAUUUAGCUAAAGAAGCUAAUUGUUAAGUUAGGCAUCUGAGUAUAAUAUUCGAAUCCUACAAUUUGGAACCCAUGGGCACUUCUAGAUUGGAUCUUGCAGAGAUUUUUUACAACAGAAAUAAUGGAAAGGCAAAAGAAAACAUUGAGUAAUAACCAACCCAAGCAAGUCCAGCCUCUUUCUGCAGAAGCAGAUAAUCAGGAUGACUCCACCUUUGUACCUGACUGAGGAACUUAGUGAACCCUGAAGAAAUGAUGAUUAAAGAGACAAUGAAGAGGCCAGGCGCAGUGGCUCAUGCCUGUAAUCCCAGCACUUUGGGAGGCCGAGGUAGGCGGAUCAUGAGGUCAGGAAAUCGAGACCAUCCUGGCUAACAUGGUGAAACUCUAUCUCUACUAAAAAUACAAAAAAUAAGCUGGGUGUGGUGGCACGUGCCUGUAAUCCCAGCUACUCAGGAAGCUGAGACAGGAGAAUCGCUUGAACCCAGGAGGUGGAGGUUGCAGUGAGCCGAAGUCGUGCCGUUGCACUCCAGUCCGGGUGACAGAGUGAGACUCUGUCUCAAAAAAAAAAAAAAAAAAAAAGGACAAUGAAGACAGGAGACAUUGGGCUGUGCCCUUCUAGAUAUGACAGGGAGCAAAUAAGCCAACUCCAGGUCAGUAUAAAAUCCUAGGUGAUCAUUAAAAUCACUUAAAUAAGCCAACUCCAGGUCAGCAUAAAAUCCUAGGCGAUCAUUAAAAUCACUUAAAAUUAAAAUCCUAGGUGAUCAUUAAAACCACUUCAAAAAGACAUGUUUUGGGAGCUAUGUGUUCAGGGAAACAGAGGAGAAAACAACUGGGACUCUAUGAGGUGCCAGGUUUGAAGCUGUAUGGAUGUGACUGAUGUCAGGUUUUCAUGAGCCCAGUGGAAAAUUUAGAGGCAGUAAACUGGGCAACUGGGGCUGUUGGUGCUUGAGUAAUGCUUGGGCAUCAAGAUCUCCAAACUGUGUGGCCGCACCUGUGGUCCUAGCUACUCAGGAGGCUGAGGUGGGAGGAUAGUUGGAGCCUGGGAGAUUGAGGCUGCAGUGAGCUGUGAUGGUGCCACUGUACUCUAGCCUGGGUGACAGAGCGAGACUUGUCUCAAAAAAAAAAAAAUCUCCAAACUGGACUCUCUCUCACUAGGGAUUUGUCUCUUUCUCCUCUCCUUCUCUUCCUUCCUAAUUAUCUCCUUUUCUUUAUUCACAAUAUAUAUAUCCUCAACUAUGGAUAAGUGUGCUUAUACUCAGCUAUAUUUUCUUUUUUUCCAGCUAUAUUGAUGUAUAAUUGACAAAUAAAAAUUAGAUAUUGUUAAGGUGUACAACAUAGUGCUUGACAGAUAUAUACAUUGUGAAAUAAUUACCACAACCAAGCAAGCUAGUUAACAUAUCCAUCACCUCAUGUAGUUACUUUUUUGGGUUUUUUUUUUUUUGGUGUGGUGAGAACACUGAAAAUCAACUCUCUUAGCAAAUUUUGAGUAUUCAAUGAAGUAUACUUGAAUAACACUGUAUACAAAUUCAAGUAUAAAUUCAAGUAUACAAUGCUAUUAGCUAUAGUCAUCCUGCUAUAUAUUAGUUCUCCAGAACCUACUCAUCAUAUAAGUUAACGUUUGUACCCUUUGCCCAAGACCGCCCCACUUCCUCCUCCCACCAGCUGCUGGUAACAACCAUUCUACUCUCUGUUUCUAUGAGUUUGACUUUUUUAGGUUUUGCAUAGAAGUGACAUCAUGCAGUAUUUAUCUUUCUGUGUCUGGCUUGUUUCAUUUAGCAUAACGUCUUGCAGGUUCAUUCAUGUUGUCGCAAAUGGCAGGAUUUCCUUAUUUUUAAAGGCUGAAUAUUCCAUUGUGUGUGAAAAUAUAUGAUAUCAACUGUAUUUUCAUAUAUGUGUCUAACUGGAUGGCCUCUUAAUAAACUUUAAAGGAUUAAAGAUUGUCAUUAGAGAAUUCUAAAUAAGGUGGUUUUAGGUUCAUAUUAUACAAUACAUGUAAUGUGCAUGCAUUAUGUCGACUCUUAUUAAAUUCUAAGUCCUACUCAAUAGUGUUGAGAGCAUUAAUGCACCCAAGAAUUUUGUUUUUUUAUUUAACUUAGUGAGAAAAUAUAACUUAAUAUAUAGCAAUUCACUUAGAUUGAUAUAGAAGUAAUUAACACCACAUUCUUAUUAAUAGAUUUCU